AAGUGUUACAGCUCUUUUAGAAUUUGUCUGGUAGAUGUUCCUCUCCUCCCAGAAGACUGUCAAU
ensembl:snRNA U7 U7 small nuclear RNA